CGCGCUCGGCCUCAGGGAUCGCGGCAUUGUACUCAGCAGUGAUCUGAUGGGGCUGCAGCAUCCCCUUUCCUUGGUUAACAAGCCUGAACAAGUUAUCGUGUAACAGCAGAGAUUUGUACAAAUUGGCAGCCAGUCUAGCCUGCAAAAGAUCAGGGACAGACCUUGAGAAGACGGCGACGAGCUCAUUGGUGUGCGCAGAGAGGGAAUCACCGAUGCGCUCCCUCACGCUGUGGAUGCGGCUCAGGGCGCGCUCUCCGGCAGUCUCCCCCAUUGCUGUCCUCAAACCUGAACAGCGGAAACAGUCAUGUAAAUCUGAACAGCAGAAACAGUGGAGCCUCCUCCCACACAACAGGGCGCUCUGUCCUGGCAACGAUGCAUGAGCUCUACUGAUAUAUAGAGCCGGAGGAAGAAGAAAGGUUGGCGUGGCGUGCAAGAGUGCCUAGAAGCCUGUGCUUUGGGAACCAGAUCAUGGGAUUAGCGUGAGAUGUAUUGUAGCCGUUUCUUGCGUGGCUUGGCAAGCUAAUUAAAACUGACCAAA